GACGAACGCUGGCGGCGUGCUUAACACAUGCAAGUCGAACGGAAAGGCCCUGCUUUUGUGGGGUGCUCGAGUGGCGAACGGGUGAGUAACACGUGAGUAACCUGCCCUUGACUUUGGGAUAACUUCAGGAAACUGGGGCUAAUACCGGAUAGGAGCUCCUGCUGCAUGGUGGGGGUUGGAAAGUUUCGGCGGUUGGGGAUGGACUCGCGGCUUAUCAGCUUGUUGGUGGGGUAGUGGCUUACCAAGGCUUUGACGGGUAGCCGGCCUGAGAGGGUGACCGGACACAUUGGGACUGAGAUACGGCCCAGACUCCUAAGGGAGGCAGCAGUGGGGAAUAUUGCACAAUGGGCGAAAGACUGAUGCAGCACCGCCGCGUGCGGGAUGACGGCCUUCGGGUUGUAAACCGCUUUAGCCUGUGACGAAGCGUGAGUGACGGUAAUGGGUAAAGAAGCACCGGCUAACUACGUG
rnacentral:rRNA from 1 species